rnacentral:rRNA from 1 species
AGAGUUUGAUCCUGGCUCAGAUUGAACGCUGGCGGCGUGCCUAACACAUGCAAGUCGAGCGGUAACAGGCGUAGCAAUACGUGCUGACGAGCGGCGAACGGGUGAGCAAUGCUUCGGAAUCUGCCCAAUGAUGGGGAAUAACCAGUCGAAAGAUUGGCUAAUACCGCAUACGCCCUACGGGGGAAAGCGGGGGAUCGCAAGACCUCGCGUCGAUGGAUGAGCCGAAGUCGGAUUAGCUAGUUGGUAAGGUAACGGCUUACCAAGGCGACGAUCCGUAACCGGCCUGAGAGGGCGGUCGGUCACACUGACACUGACAUACGGGUCAGACUCCUACGGGAGGCAGCAGUCGGGAAUUUUGGGCAAUGGGCGAAAGCCUGACCCAGCAACGCCGCGUGAAGGAUGAAAUCCCUCGGGAUGUAAACUUCGCAAGAACGGGAAGAAUAAGUAGGGGACAAUACCCCCUAUGAUGACGGUACCGUUUGUAAGCUCCGGCUAACUCCGUGCCAGCAGCCGCGGUAAU